UCGUUUAAAGCCAUUACGUCAACAUCCUUAAUGAAUUUAUUCCGUUCUAACCUUUUGACGAACACUUAAAUACCAUAAGCACGCUUUCAGCACCAAAGUGACAAAUCAGAGGCCAGACGAUAGCCCAAAAGGGUAUUCGUUGCAAUCCUCGAUCCCAAUCGUCACAUCUACCAAAGGUAUAACACUCCGAUACGAGAUCGAAGCCACAUUCCUCCGAUCAUUUU
rnacentral:rRNA from 1 species